rnacentral:snRNA from 1 species
AUUGGGGCGCUUAGGGCAUUGAUGUAGCCAGUGAGGUAAAACCGAGGCGUGUCAAUUGCUGGUUGAAAUCUAUUUCCAAACCCCCUCAUUGGCUAGUGUUGGGUAUGGGUCUGGGCCC